rnacentral:rRNA from 1 species
GAAUUUUGGACAAUGGGGGCAACCCUGAUCCAGCCAUCCCGCGUGUGCGAUGAAGGCCUUCGGGUUGUAAAGCACUUUUGGCAGGGAAGAAAAGGAUCUGGCUAAUACCUGGAGCUGCUGACGGUACCUGCAGAAUAAGCCCCGGCUACCUAAGUGCCCGCAACCGCGGUAAUACGUCGGGGGCAAGCGCUAAUCGGAAUUACUGGGCGUAAAGCGUGCGCAGGCGGUUCGGCAAGAAGGAUGUGAAAUCCCAGGGCUUAACCUGGGAACUGCAUUCGUAACUGCCGGGCUAGAGUAUGUCAGAGGGGGGUAGAAUUCCGCGUGUAGCAGUGAAAUGCGUAGAGAUGCGGAGGAAUACCGAUGGCGAAGGCAGCCCCCUGGGAUAAUACUGACGCUCAUGCACGAAAGCGUGGGGAGCAAAC